AUUGCUUCCCCUGUCCUUCCUUUAGCUGUAACUCCGGCGGGCGUGUUGGGUGUGUCGUUUUAGGCUCUGUGACCCAGGAGCAAGACGCAAUAAGCGGGUGCAGUGGAGGUAGAAACGGGAAAUGCAGUACCCUUUCCGGAAGCUACUCCGCCCCUCGACAGAGUCUUGCUGUGUCGCCCAAGCUAGAGUGCAGUGGUGUCAUCUGGGCUCAUUGCAACCUCCGCUUCCUGGAUUCAAGCAAUUCUCAUGCCACAGCCUCCCAAGUAGCUGGGACUACAGGUGCGCACCACCAUGCCUGACUAAUUUUUGUAUUUUUAGUAGAGACAGGGUUUCACCAUGCUGGCCAGGCUGGUCUCGAACUCCUGACCUCAAGUGAUCCACCUGCCUCAGCCUCCGAAAGUGCUGGGAUUGCAGGUGUGAGCCACCAUGUCCGCCCAUUGAAAAGCUCUUUAAAUAUUGAAUGCUCAUGUUUGAAAAAAUAUAACCUAUGUUUAUUUUGCUCUUGCCUUGUUCCUGACCAUUCUUAAGUGCUUAUAUGAAUUAACCCUUUUAGUUCGUGUAACCCUAAGAGGCAGAUUCCUUUAUGAUCCCUCUUUACAGAUAAGGAAAUUGGGGCAAAGGUUAAACAGCUGCUCCAAAUUAUACAGCUACUGAAUAGUGGAAAUGGGAUUUGGACCAACCACAAGCACAUUAACCACUGUACACUACAGUUUCAUUAGCUUAGGAUAAAGAAGGACCUGAACCAUCUGAGAAGAUUGUGAAGGGGACAUCUGAUGACCAUCUAGGAUGGUACAUGGUGGUCUCUGAGUCUAGAACGGUUCAAGGUAAAUGGCUGGUCUUUCCCUUAAUUUAGGUAUAUGAUGAAUAGUACUUUUGUGCUUGUCAACUGUAAUGGAGUUGUUUUGGAGUUUAUAAAUGGAACAAACGCUGUCAGAAAGAGAAAGAUUUACUUGAGUAACUGGAUAAUGGUUAAUAAAAGGUGGAAGAGGAUUAACAAGUACAUGCUUGUGGGGUGUGAGAAAGAGAUUGCUGGGGUGGAAAUAACUGAGCUGAGACCUGGAAAGAAAAAACAGGGAAGAAUUUGACUUUACAUAAUUAUUUACAUGAAAAGGGAGGGGAAAAUGGAAGGGAUAUUGCCCUGUAUUAUGGUUUGUUCUAACUUGUUCAGAUGUAUGACAACCCACUGUGGUUCAUGUACCACAGCCAUGGCAAUAGUGGACUUACCAGGGGCCCCUACUCCAGAUGAUGGUCUUAUGUCCUUAAGAAAGAGUCCAAUUUCGACCUCAAAGUAGUUGUCUUUGGACACCCCUUCUACCCUCUUUCCUCUCCCAGAGCAUUAGAUAUGAGGUCAUGAGAGUGAAGGGGAAAGAGUCCUGGACUUAUUGUUGGGGGAACAGAGUUCCAACUCUGCUACCUAACUAGUUCUCCUUUUGUGAGUUAAAGUCUUUGAGCCCCUCUUUCCUAAGCUGCGAAAACGGAUGAUUUUACCCACUUCAUGGUUUUGUUGUAAGCAUUAGGUGAGGUGCUGUAUGUGAGAGCAUUGAAUAGAAAGCAUGACUGGGGGGUCAGGAGGGGCAAGGGUGACCCUUCCUGUGAUCCAUACUCAUCUGUGGCCACGAUAGGGGCCUCUCUCCCUUAACCACCAGUAACUGUUGAACAAGGGAAGGAUCUAGAUAUUUAUUUACCAUCUACUAUGUAUGCUAUAGAAUGUUAGUGUUAGCCAGGAAACUGGGUUCAGAGAUGGGCUGCCUGGGUUCAAAUCCUAGUUCUAGCUGUGUAAUUUUGGGCAAAUAAUUUGAACUCUCAGAACCCCGUUUCUUUCCUGUGAAGUUGGAGUCAUAAUGAGACCUUCCUCAGAGGUUAGCUGUGAGGUGGGAGACAGUCUGUAGGAGUUCACAGUCUAUUGGGAGAGUCAGGUUUGUAAACAAGCAAUCACAAUGCACCAUGUGGUAAAGUGCAGUCAUGGAGACAGGAAUAAAAUGCUUUGGUAGCAUGGGGAGGGGAGGAAGGGGGGACUAACCUGGCAUAAAGGUUCAAUGAGAGACAUGAGAUGUGUGUGUGUGUGUGUGUGUGUGUGUGUGUGUUCAUAUGUAUAUAUAGACACAUACACCUUUUUGGGCAAACAAAACCGUUCCUGUCUUCAGGCCUAAGGAUGAAGCUAAACUGGCUCACCAGGUCCUUUAUGCCUGGGCUCUGUGAUCUCCACACCCCCUUACUCUGCCGCCACUUGCUAUUCUCUGUCUUUGGAGGCACUUCCAUGACUCUGUUUUUGCACAUUCUGUUCCCUGACGUAGAAUGCUCUUCCAUAUCUAAACACCUCCAGAGCUCAACAGAGAUAACAAAAAUAUCAAGAGUGCAAGAAUAGCCAAAUAAACAAUACAAAUAAUUUCAGCAGUUUAAAGUUAAUAAAUACCCGUGAUUUACAUGCACAGUCUCAUCUAUGCCUUUUUGGUUUUUCUUCUUUUUUUUUUUUUUUGAUACGGAGUUUCCCUUUGUUGCCCAGGCUGGAGUGCAGUGGCGCGAUCUCAGCUCACCGCAACCUCCACAUCCCGGGUUCAAGCGAUUCUUCUGCCUCAGCCUCCUGAGUAGCUGGGAUUGCAGGUGCUGCCACAAUGCCCGGCUACCAUCUAAGCCUUUUCAAAACCUUAGAAGACAAGUACUGUAUUUAACCCAAUUUGAAAGUGAGGAUUAUUGAAGGUAAAAUAUACUAACUAGCCUUUUGUAAGUCACACAACCAGCCAGUAGUACAGCUAGGAUUUUUACCUAGCUCUGGCUAAUCCUAGAGCUCACCUCUUAACUUCUGUUGUCUCUCAAAAUUAAUUCCUUGGGCUGAGCAUGGUGGUGCAUGCCUGUAAUCCCAGCACUUUGGUAGGCUGAGGCAGGCAGACCACAUGAGGUCAAGAGUUUGAGACCAGCCUGGCCAACAUGGCAAAACCCUGUCUCUACUGAAAAUACAAAAAUUAGCCAGGCGUGGCGGUACAUGCCUAUAGUCCCUGCUACUCAGGAGGCUGAGGCAGGAGAAUCACUUGAGCCUGGGAGGUGGAGGUUGCAGUGAGCUGAGAUUGUACCACUGCACUCCAGCCUGGGUGACAGGGCGAGACUCUGUCUAAAAAAAAGGCCGGGCGCAGUGGCUCACGCCUGUAAUUCCAGCACUUUGGGAGGCCAAGGUGGGCAGAUCACCUGAGGUCAGGAGUUUGAGACCAGGCUGACCAACAUGGAAAAACCCCGUCUCUACUAAAAAUACAAAAUUAGGAGGGCGUGGUGGCGCAUGCCUGUAAUCCCAGCUACUCAGGAGACUGAGGCAGGAGAAUCAUUUGAACCCAGGAGGCAGAGGUUGCGGUGAGCUGAGAUUGUGCCAUUGCACUCCAGCCUGGGCAACAAGAGCAAAAUUCCAUCUCAAAAAAAUAAAAAUAAAAAUAAAAUUUAACUCCUUAGUAAAGUAAUUCUGCAACUUAAAUAUCAAAAACAAAAAUUGUCCUCAUAUGUAAUCUGUUAGUUUUAUUGCCUCUCUUAUUACAAUACCCAUCAUAAUUUUUUUACUUUUAUUUUUCUAAAUUGCAAAAGUAAAGUUUAUUAUAGAGUUAGAAAAUGUAAAUAACCAAUAUAACAAGAGUAAGGAAAUUAUUAUCCAAAAUUUCACAUUCUAAAGG
rnacentral:lncRNA from 10 species